rnacentral:rRNA from 1 species
CCCCUUCGGGGGUGACGCUUGUGGAAUGAGCGGCGGACGGGUGAGUAACACGUGGGCAACCUGCCUGUAAGACUGGGAUAACCCCGGGAAACCGGGGCUAAUACCGGAUAAUACUUUCUUUUGCAUAAAGGAAAGUUGAAAGGCGGCUUCGGCUGUCACUUACAGAUGGGCCCGCGGCGCAUUAGCUAGUUGGUGAGGUAACGGCUCACCAAGGCGACGAUGCGUAGCCGACCUGAGAGGGUGAUCGGCCACACUGGGACUGAGACACGGCCCAGACUCCUACGGGAGGCAGCAGUAGGGAAUCUUCCGCAAUGGACGAAAGUCUGACGGAGCAACGCCGCGUGAGUGAUGAAGGUUUUCGGAUCGUAAAACUCUGUUGUUAGGGAAGAACAAGUACGAUAGUAACUGAUCGUACCUUGACGGUACCUAACCAGAAAGCCACGGCUAACUACGUGCCAGCAGCCGCGGUAAAUACGUAAGGUGGCAAGCGUUGGCCC